CGCGGCCUAUCAGCUUGUUGGUGGGGUGAUGGCCUACCAAGGCGACGACGGGUAGCCGGCCUGAGAGGGCGACCGGCCACACUGGGACUGAGACACGGCCCAGACUCCUACGGGAGGCAGCAGUGGGGAAUAUUGCACAAUGGGCGGAAGCCUGAUGCAGCGACGCCGCGUGAGGGAUGACGGCCUUCGGGUUGUAAACCUCUUUCAGCCGGGACGAAGCCGUGAGGUGACGGUACCGGCAGAAGAAGCGCCGGCCAACUACGUGCCAGCAGCCGCGGUAAGACGUAGGGCGCGAGCGUUGUCCGGAUUUAUUGGGCGUAAAGAGCUCGUAGGCGGCUUGUCGCGUCGUUCGUGAAAACCUGUGGCUCAACUGCAGGCUUGCGGUCGAUACGGGCAGGCUGGAGUUCGGUAGGGGAGACUGGAAUUCCUGGUGUAGCGGUGAAAUGCGCAGAUAUCAGGAGGAACACCGGUGGCGAAGGCGGGUCUCUGGGCCGAUACUGACGCUGAGGAGCGAAAGCGUGGGGAGCGAACAGGAUUAGAUACCCUGGUAGUCCACGCUGUAAACGUUGGGCGCUAGGUGUGGGGGGCCUCUCCGGUUCUCUGUGCCGCAGCUAACGCAUUAAGGGCCCCGCCUGGGGAGUACGGA
rnacentral:rRNA from 1 species